rnacentral:rRNA from 1 species
GAUGAACGCUGGCGGCGUGCCUAAUACAUGCAAGUCGAGCGAACAGACGAGGAGCUUGUUCCUCUUACGUUAGCGGCGGACGGGUGAGUAACACGUGGAUAACCUACCUAUAAGACUGGGAUAACUUCGGGAAACCGGAGCUAAUACCGGGUAAUAUAUUGAACCGCAUGGUUCAAUAGUGAAAGACGGUUUUGCUGUCACUUAUAGAUGGAUCCGCGCCGCAUUAGCUAGUUGGUAAGGUAUCGCCUUACCAAGGCAGCGAUGCGUAGCCGACCUGAGAGGGUGGUCGGCCACACUGGAACUGAGACGCGGUCCGGACUCCUACGGGAGGCAGCAGUAGGGAAGAUUACGCAAUGGGCGAAGGCCUGCCGGAGCAACGCCGCGUGAGGGAUGAAGGUCUUCGGAUCGUAAAACUCUGUUAUUGGGGAAGAACAAAGGUGUAAGUAACUAUGCACGUCUUGACGGUACCUAAACAGAAAGCCACGGCUAACUACGUG